AUUUACUUCCCUCCCGGGGAGGACAGCAGAAAAGAGGCCCCAGCCGCUGCCCACGCCUGCCCACGCCUGCCCACAGCCUUGGUGUUCCUGAUCCAGCACGUUGCCAUCAUCCUCGCCCCAGAUACCAGCCAAGGAGGCUGGAAGGCCAACCAAGCUCCAACCACUGGGCGUCCCAUCGCAGCGUGGCUUUACUGCUAACGUUGGCAUUGCUGUUUGUGCCAGGGGUUCUGUUCAAAACCAAGCUCUUAGAAGAAUUUGGAGGAAAUUAUGACUGCAACCAUGUCUUUAAGCAGCUAACCCUGGAGAGAGAAUGGACCAAGCUAAACAUUAACCAUUGCUGCUGGUAGGCCUCUGACAGCACAAGGUUGUGAGCCUGUCUUUCAGAAACCAGCUAGCUGGGUUCAAAACCAAGCCCAUCAUGUAGAAGUUAUGUGACCUUGAAGAAGUUAAUUAGACUCUCUGAACCUUUGGUUCUUUAUCCACCAAUAAAAAUAAUCUCACCUACCUCCCAGGGUUGUAGGUCCAAGUGUAUAAUGUACAAAUGAAUAAAUUAAGACAGUCUCACUCCUGUUGUCGUUCCCUUGUCAUUGAAAAGACACUGAGUACAAAUGGAUAGAUGCUAUCCAAAGAGGACACGUUCAGUGCCUGGAUCAUGGCACUUUGCCCCUCUCCAUGGUCUGAAGCACUAAUGGCUGGAAUCUAACCUGGAAGGUUGGUUACCCUUGUUGAUGCUGUAGCAGGAAAGUCAGAAUAUAGCCAAUGCUAUUGUAUUUUUUAUUUAAAAAAAAUUAAAUAAAAUAGUGAUCCAUUGCAUAUAAAACUGAACUGGAGUCCAUAGUUUACGGUGGGGAAGGCUCAGAAGAUAGAGGCAAGAAUGUAGCUGCAGCAUUUUCUUUUUCUUCAUAUCUAGGAGGCAAUUCAGAUGGAAGAUGUGGAGUGUGUGAGGCCUCAGAAGACGAAUUCAUCCCAGAAAUGGUAUAUAUAGAUUCACAGUCUCUUUCAGAGGCUGCACCCUCUGAAGUUGGGGUCCUGCUAAAGAGAAGGAGAGAGAACAUGAAGGGGAGGGGAUGAAAACAGUGACACCCCUUUAGUACUAGGUUCUUUUCAAAUGUUUGAUUACAUGCACUUAAGAGUAUUUGCAAGAAUCUGAGGAGUAAUUUCUCCCUCACUCUACUUUUCAUAGAUUUGUUUUGAUUUCUUACCUCUUCCUUUUCCUAGAGCUGAGUGUAACAUUAAGACAGUCUCACUCCUGCUGUCAUUCCCUUUGUCAUUGAAAAGACAUUGAAAACAAAUUUACAGACACCAUCCAAAGAGAACAUAGACACAUA
rnacentral:lncRNA from 1 species